GCUUUCUUGGAUCUGUAGUUACCCUGAAAGGAGAUGAGUUUGAGUUAUGAUCCAUACAAGUACCAUUGUCAACUCAGAUCUCCCGGGAAUACCCACGAGAAAGUACCGUACUCAGUUGUGUGGGGGACUCUCUCCCUCGAGUCCUGUACGUAAAGCCCAAGUACCUAAAGCCUAAGUACGUAAAGCCUAAGACCUCGGAGCUUACCAGCCAUCGUUGUCCCUGUCGUAGGUGCUGAAGAACAUGCCGUUGUGGAUGGUCAUGGUUCUGUUCUCCCCCACCAGCUGAGAGGCCCCUUCCAUGAGGGCGUUGCCAGCAGUCCCUUUGUACUUGUUCACUGACACUUGGUACUUGUUGGCCUCGGUCUGCACCGUGAAGCCUCCAUAGUGUGCCUUCACCUUGUCUCCUUUCCAGUCCUCCAUUUCGAUUAGGAGUUCUGUGGGUCCUAUCCUGGUGAGCUGGCUAAUCUUAUCAUUGCCAAGCCAAUAUUCGCCUAGAGAGGAUCGAUAUAAACAUCAGCAAGAGCGAAGCCUCUGGAAACCAGGCACUGCUUCCCCCCAGAUGGAGGAUUGAAGACACACAAGACUACUGCGUAAAGCUUUUAUGAGGAAGGCGUGGGCAUGGGGCUAAGACAAAUCAACUCUAGAUUGUAAGAUUUAAGCUUUGGAAUACACAGACCUGUCAGGAAUCUAGACUAUCAGAAAGAAGAUUCUCAUGCCACCUGGUAGCGAGAAUCAAGCCCUCCUCUGCCUACACAAAUCAAGGGGAGAUCCAGAGUCAACAACUCACGUUCCAGCAAGAGCAUUCACUCAGAAAUAUUUCUGGGCUUUGUAUGGCAAGUGAAGCAUUCUCGUCAACUUUACAAAAUCUUCUUGUAAGGAUGAAAGCCAGUGAUCUGAGGUUGCAUCACAAGAGCGUUUUAAACAAUGUUGCAAAAGCAGAAAUGACAAGUUUCUUCUCUUGACAGUACAGUAUGUCAAAUCCUUUUAACUUAGACUGUUGAAACGAAGGCUGACAGGAAAACAAUGAUUUGUUUCUAAAAGUGUGCUUCAUUUGUCAGGAUGACUAAGCAUACGUGGGAAUCUUUAAUUUUUUUAAGAGAAAUAUAUAAUCUGACAGUAAGUUUCUACAUGUGCAUUAAUCAAAAGAAGAUAUGAGGAUAAACCUUGAAAAUAUAAUUGAUUUUUAAAAAAUGCAUCCUAAUGAUAUGGGUAGGAUUUCAUCUCUGUGACACAUAUUUUUGCUGAUGUUAGAAGAACUAUGUUGAAGAAGAUCAAACAUGCUUUUGAGAUGUAUGGUAUUAUUAUAUUUCCAGUCUCUGACAGGUUAUCUCCUAUGAUAGUGCCAGCCACUAUGUCAGCCUGUGCAUUUAUAGUAUCUCUGUGUAUAUAAGGCAGAUCUUGUUCAACAUGAAAGAUCCUUCAGCUACCUCUUCAUGCUGCUUAGACCUAGCUUAACAGUCAUUCCCCGCACAGUGCCUCUGGGCCCUCGAAGGGACAGGCAGUGUGGGAGGGGCUGAAAUAUACCGAGGAGCAAGGCAUUCAAAUCAACAGUCAUGGAAUAAACAAACUGACAUUCACGGA